rnacentral:rRNA from 1 species
GACGAACGCUGGCGGCGUGCCUAAUACAUGCAAGUUGAGCGAUGAAGAUUGGUGCUUGCACCAAUUUGAAGAGCAGCGCACGGGUGAGUAACGCGUGGGGAAUCUGCCUUUGAGCGGGGUACAACAUUUGGAAACGAAUGCUAAUACCGCAUAACAACUUUAAACAUAAGUUUUAAGGUUGAAAGAUGCAAUUGCAUCACUCAAAGAUGAUCCCGCGUUGUAUUAGCUAGUUGGUGAGGUAAAGGCGCACCAAGGCGAUGAUACAUAGCCGACCUGAGAGGGCGAGUGGCCAGCUUGGGACGGUGACACGGCACAAACUCCCACGGGAGGGGGCAGUAGGGAAACUGGGGCCAUGGGCGAAAGACUGACCGAGAAGCGCGGAAUGCGUGAAGAAGGUUUUCGGAUCGUAAAACUCGGUUGGUAGAGAAGAACGUUCGUGAGCGUGGAAAGAUCAUCAAGUGACGGUAACUACUCAGAAAGGGACGGCUAACUACGUG